AGUUGGUGGAGUGAUUUGUCUGGUUAAUUCCGUUAACGAACGAGACCUUAACCUGCUAAAUAGUGUUCAGGACUUCGGUGCUUGACUUACUUCUUAGAGGGACUUCGUGUGUUUAACAUGAGGAAGUUUGAGGCAAUAACAGGU
rnacentral:rRNA from 1 species